CCUACGGGAGGCAGCAGUGGGGAAUAUUGGACAAUGGGCGAAAGCCUGAUCCAGCCAUGCCGCGUGUGUGAAGAAGGCCUUCGGGUUGUAAAGCACUUUCAGUGGGGAAGAAAGCCUUGGGGCUAAUACCCUCGAGGAAGGACAUCACCCACAGAAGAAGCACCGGCUAACUCCGUGCCAGCAGCCGCGGUAAUACGGAGGGUGCGAGCGUUAAUCGGAAUUACUGGGCGUAAAGCGCGCGUAGGCGGUCUGAUAAGCCGGUUGUGAAAGCCCCGGGCUCAACCUGGGAACGGCAUCCGGAACUGUCAGGCUAGAGUGCAGGAGAGGAAGGUAGAAUUCCCGGUGUAGCGGUGAAAUGCGUAGAGAUCGGGAGGAAUACCAGUGGCGAAGGUGGCCUUCUGGACUGACACUGACGCUGAGGUGCGAAAGCGUGGGUAGCAAACAGGAUUAGAUACCCGAGUAGUC
rnacentral:rRNA from 1 species